rnacentral:rRNA from 1 species
GACGAACGCUGGCGGCGUGCCUAAUACAUGCAAGUCGAGCGAACAUUUGAGAGCUUGCUCUCAAAUGUUAGCGGCGGACGGGUGAGUAACACGUGGGCAACCUGCCUAUAAGACUGGGAUAACUUCGGGAAACCGGAGCUAAUACCGAAUAAUUCACAUCUACUCAUGUAGAUGUGCUGAAAGACGGUUUACGCUGUCACUUAUAGAUGGGCCCGCGGCGCAUUAGCUAGUUGGUGAGGUAACGGCUCACCAAGGCCACGAUGCGUAGCCGACCUGAGAGGGUGAUCGGCCACACUGGGACUGAGACACGGCCCAGACUCCUACGGGAGCAGCAGUAGGAAUCUUCCGCAAUGGACGAAAGUCUGACGGAGCAACGCCGCGUGAGUGAU